rnacentral:misc_RNA from 1 species
GAAAUGCGAUAAGUAGUGUGAAUUGCAGAAUUCAGUGAAUCAUCGAAUCUUUGAACGCACAUUGCGCCCCUUGGUAUUCCAUGGGGCAUGCCUGUUCGAGCGUCAUUUGUACCCUCAAGCUCUGCUUGGUGUUGGGUGUUUGUCCCCGUCUCCGCGCGUGGACUCGCCCCAAAGUGAUUGGCAGCCGGCGUACUGGUCCCGGAGCGCAGCACAUGUCGCGCAAACGAGUGCCUUGGUACGGCGGCGUCCAUAAGCCCCUCUCUCACGCUCUUGACCUCGGAUCAGGUAGAGAUACCUGCUGAACUUAAGC